UACGUAGGGUGCGAGCGUUUAAUCGGAAUUACUGGGCGUAAAGCGUGCGUAGGCGGUUUCAUAAGCUUGAUGUGAAAGCCCCGGGCUCAACCUGGGAAUGGCAUUGGAAACUGGCUUGCUAGAGUGUGGCAGAGGGGGUGGAAUUCCGCGUGUAGCAGUGAAAUGCGUAGAGAUGCGGAGGAACACCGAUGGCGAAGGCAGCCCCCUGGGCUGACACUGACGCUCAGGCACGAAAGCGUGGGGAGC
rnacentral:rRNA from 1 species